CGUCCAGCCAUUCAGCCUGCAGCUGGGCCUUCCCACAGGGCCUUCUGCUGAGCAUAAGCCUUAGCAACUUUAACAGUUAUAACCCCAUAUCCCGCAUUCAGACUGUAAAUUGUACCACCUAGUAGCUUGAGAAUUUUGUACAGGAAUUUCCUUAGGACUCCUGGGCAAAUGUCACCUGCUCCAGACAAUUUUAUUACUGUUUUAGUGAUCUAUUUUAAGAACUUUUCUCCUGACUUUUCAAUUUGAAAAUGUCAUUCUGCUGAAAAAAAAAAAAAAAAAAAAAAAAAAAAGAGUCCUCUGUAAUUUUCUCAAUAAUGAAUCACAGGUACUCCUCUUGAAGAUAGAUGGAAUUCCUUAAAAUCGGUAUCUCACUGUCUGUUCUGGCAUAAUCCUUUGAUGAGAAAACCUUGACGGCCUUUCAGAAGAGGAAGAAAUCCCUCCACUGCAGAGUCACCAGAGACUGGCUAUUACUAAUUGAUUCUACAUGGAGAACACAUAGUGGUGACAGCCAUCAGUCUGAAACAAUCCUUCCUGCUCGUAGCAUUCUCACAGCUGGGUGAGAAGAGAUCUGGGAACACUCUGGCUGUGCACUGGUUGUAUCAUCUCUGGUGCUCUGGAAAUCCACAGCUGUGAUCUUCCAGCAGAUUCUGUCUGUGACACACUGGCUCAAGGGAUGUCCAAGUCAUACAGAUUGGUGCAGCCUUCUCCAGAAGAAACUGAGUAUCCCACCUAUGGAUGCCUUACAGAUCAUAUCAAGGACAGUCUACUGGAAGUGAACAUCGUUUUAGGCAAGAGAGAGUCAACAACCCAAGUACAAGGAGACUAAUGACUUAAAAUUGAGCCUUCUCUGUACAACUGAUGGAGUUUUGUUCCUGGGCUAUCUCCUUCUCGUUUCAUUCAGCAUGAAUGGCAGAUUCCUACAUCGUGUCAAGUUUCGGAUCACCAUAGAAACAAACUAGGAGGCAGUUUCAUUAAUCAUUUAGAGCACAAGAAGUCUAGGUCAGUCUGAUUGCAGCAUAUAGAGUAUCAUCCUAGCGCCACAUGGGACUCAGUUGAUUUGAAUUAAAAAAGAUUAAGCUGCCCCUAGGACGCUCAGCAUCAUCAGUUUAAGUUCUCAUGUAACAGUGGUCUCUGGAGCCACAUGGAUUAGGAGAGUGAAGCUAUGCAUUUAUUUUUCAGGGCUCAGUGAAACAUUAGAUGAGUGCAGGUGUCUGAGGGGGAAAAAAGGACAAAGAUCACAUAUAGUUUUUUAGACUUGUUGCUGUUCUUUUGAAACUGGAAACAAUAACUCAGUUUUAUUUCUCCAGUGACAGUUACCGCUCUUUUUUGGCCAUGCAAUGGUACAUCUGUUACCCAAUGUUUACAUUUUAGAUUUACAAAAAUUUCAUACUAUGAAGCAUAGUUUUAGCACAGAGCUGCAAGUUGGGCAUAGAAGUUUACAUGAAUGCUGACUUUUGCUUCUCCUGAUGGGGUAAAAAAUGCGUGAAAUAAAUACUGGUGACAUUUUAGUUUUGCUUGAAUGAAGAUUUAUUGCUCCCAGGAAACUGACAUACAGGCAGCUACAAAUCAACUUGACUAUGAAAUAGUUGUAUAUGCACACCACAAAAUGAGCCCCCCCUUCCAAAGUACUCACCUUAUUUAUGGGUCUUCCAGUACUUCAAAGACCUUCAGUAACUUAGUCCAGACUGGUUUAUUGCUUUUCAGAACUAAGACAUUUCAAGGGGAAAGUUGCAGGUUACAGUAUAUUAGGACUCUUUCUCUUGGGGGUCUAAGAAUCCCAUGAUGCUAUAUGAACUGUUGAUCUAAAGCUUAUUACAGCAUGACUUCCUAGAGUAUAAUUCUUAAAUCUUUUAAGUUAUACUGUACUGUCUUUAAUCCCAAGUGCUAAACCUAAAAGAAGAACAAGCUUUACAAAACUCAGAAUGCCAUCUGUGAGCUGAUGUAAUUACACUUUGUUAAAACACUGUUCACUUACUUGCUCAGACUGCCUGUGACCUAUUUCAAAUUAAGUUGUUUUAAUUUUCAACAAAUGUUUUACAUAAAACAAUCAGAGAACAAAAUUUCAAAUCACAAUAUUCCUCCUGAAAAGUAGUUCUGUGGACUGAGUUUCUCCAGUUUACUCGAUAACCAAAAAAUUCCCUAUCCUGUGUAUUUUGUUCAUUUGCCCUUGCUGUGCCAGUUACCUGGGCUGUGACAGUAUCAUGAGCAGUGAAGCCUCCUGUCACAACACAUCAGGAGGUACCCAGACCAUGUCAAUACUUUUUUGCUGAUGUACUGUCAUCCUGGGGAUUUCCAGGAAAGAAAUGUCAUUAAGCUCAAUUUUAGAAUUUCCCAGCACUGUGCAAACAGACUGAUUAUGAGAAGGGGGAAGUGAGUAUUAUUCCCACUUUUACAAGUGAAAGUUGAUAUGAUGUCACGCUUGCACCACAACAGAGGGCAUGGACCACCAUUGGAGAGCUCCUGUUUUCCCACCUGGUGCUCAGCCCAGAUCCUCCUGUUUACAGCUUUCUGUUGAUGCCCACAAGAUGGAAAAACAAGAGCUAAAGCAUAGAGAAAGAGUCCCGAUGGAAGGCACAAAACAGCUCAUGGUAGCUAAAGCUUAUUGAGUUCCAGCCAUGGGCUGGUUGCUAUGAAACAGAAUAGAACACAUGGCCUCUAUGAAGCAGCAUUUCUAUGGUCUACUUCUAGGGUUGCCAUCCAGCCAUUUCCAGCCAGGUUGGAGAGCUUUGCCAUCACCUGGUUGCAUGUGAGACUGGUGAAUUUGCCUGUGUGAGAAGGAGCAGCUGUGGCACCCCAAACCUGCCAGCAGCAAUGAUGGCAACCAGGCUGUCCCACCCACACGUUUCUGCUCCACUGACCCACCAGGUGUCUCCCACCAGCCGGGACGUCUGCCCUCAGCCACAGCCAAAGCCUGCCAGAAACAGUCCCUCCAAUUGUGUCUCUUGUUCAAAGCCACCAAGCCUGAAGAAGCACAAACAGCUCAUUCACAGUGUAAAGCAGUGCUGAGCCAGUGGUGUGGAACUGUGUGGAACUGGCCACCAUCUCCUCCAUCUCACCAGGAGCUGCUCUAUUUUGGCUACUUAUUUGUUUCCUUUAAUUCAAUAUGACUUUCCCUUAAUUGCUUUUUUCCCUACCUCUAGAGGAAACGUCUCUCUCUGCAGUCACAGUUUCAGGUCCCAGUGCCCCAUAGCUAGAGGAUGGAACAGGAUGUUCCCUACCUGUAGGUUUCAUGAAGGGUCCCCAGAACUGCAGCAAGGCUGCAGCAACCAUACAUACCCCUCUGUGCCCUGAAACGGGAAGCUAGCCCAAGCACAUCAGGAGAUGGCUGCCCCUAAAUGAAGCUGCAGCUGUGGGUUGUUGUGAAUUGUCUUGCAUGUGCCACUUUACAGAUAUCUUAUUUUUGCUCUUCAUCUUGUGGCCAAUGGUAAUUUCAAGGUUAAAGCCUACAUGCUCAGCUCUAUUAACACUUUAUUAAAAUUACCAUGAAGCUGAAAAGGAGAUAAUUUCAUUUUUCUACCAAACACAUCCUUCAGGACCCAGACAGGCCUGGAAAGCUGCUCCUGGGCUUCUGCCAGUUGGAGGGAGAACUGUCAGGUUUGAAAUUACACAGAAGCCCAUGUGGUAUCCCUUACUUCUGCUGCUGCCCAAAGCCAUCAGAAGGAAGACAGCUUCUGUACAGCCCUUUCUAGCCAAGCAAUUGUGGCAGUAUUGUUUUUUAAUAACCAUGUAGCAAAAUCACUUUGCCUGGUAUGUGUUGCCUACAGAUAGUCUCCAAAACAUCUUUUGGCAAAAAACAUGAAGAAAAGAUUUGCAUUCACUCUACUAUGUAAAGCUAAUAUAAAACAUUUCUAACUAAUUACAUUACAUUGGCUGACUCUUGCCUUACUCUUUUGCUGUAACUACAGUGACAAAAAAAAGUUAUGUUCCUUUUGCAUUUCACAUGGAGUGGAUCAGAAUUAUUUGAAUUCCUGUGCACAGAUCAUCAUCUGAACCAUGUGCUUGUUCCCAGCCUUUCACUUAUGCCUGACAUAAGCAGUAAUUUGAAGAUGUUGAGGUGUCAAAAAGGAUCUGAAUCAUUCUGACAAACCUUUUCUCAUUCAGCUGUUGACCCAUAGCUCUGUUUGAAUUUGGGAAGCCUGAGGUCAGAAUGAAAAACAUCAUUUUUCUUGUAAGCCAAAUAUAUUUGACUGAGAAAAGGUAAGCUAAUAAAGAUGGAGAGGCAAUUUUUAAUGUCACUUUUUAGAGUACAGUAAUUUGUCUAAUCUUAUUGCCUUGGAAUAUGAUUACACGUAAUACA